rnacentral:sRNA from 1 species
AGUCUUGGAACUAGGAUUGGGGUGGGGUUCAUCCCACCCAGACCACAGAGACUGAAAAUAAGAAAGGGGUGAGGCCUAAGGGACAAUCAGGAUGUUUUUCAGAGAGAAGUGUGGAUGCUGGACAGGAAGAACCACAGAUACCAGAUACGGGUACUGUUGUAACUCUGUUCUCCAUGAAAAAAAAGGAAGAAUCAACACUUUCAGAGAUGGAGCCUGUUGAGCCACAGUACCAACUAGUCAAUGCUGAAUCGACUUCUCCCUUUCUACAUUGCCUGAGAGAAGUCAUUGGGGAAUACUCUGUACACGAAUUUUCACUGUUGGGGAAAACAGGUAUUGGAAGUGAUGGGUAGACCUCAGUUUGUAUGCAUUGCGUUAAUUACUAUUUCUUUGCUUUUCCUUUUUUUGUGCGGUUGCAGAGAGUCAAGGGAUUGGAUUGUGGAUUGCAUUGGUGGUUUUCCUCAGUUUCCUCAUCUUCUCCACAAGUUUCUACAUAUCGAAUGCAGAGCAGCCCUUCUUCAAAGGACCUCCUACGGAAGCUGCUAAGGAACUCAGUCUGUAGCUCUGCGUGGAGCCAUGUGUAAACACUGAACUGAGACCUGCCACCUCCUACUACCUAAGGGCCCAUUUUCAUCUGAUAUCAUCCCCCAGAAACAAACUCAUGAUGACUUCCAUGUUUUUUUUAGAUUAGAUACAUGGAGAAUUUUCCUUUCCCUUAGAAUUAAAAUCCUGCAUUCUAAUUUUCAGUAA